rnacentral:rRNA from 1 species
UGGCGAACGGGUGAGUAACACGUGGGCAACCUGCCCAAAAGAGGGGGAUAACACUUGGAAACAGGUGCUAAUACCGCAUAACCAUAGUUACCGCAUGGUAACUAUGUAAAAGGUGGCUAUGCUACCGCUUUUGGAUGGGCCCGCGGCGCAUCAGCUAGUUGGUGGGGUAAAGGCUUACCAAGGCAAUGAUGCGUAGCCGAACUGAGAGGUUGAUCGGCCACAUUGGGACUGAGACACGGCCCAAACUCCUACGGAAGGCAGCAG